GACGGAGGAUGCAAGUGUUAUCCGGAAUCACUGGGCGUAAAGCGUCUGUAGGUGGUUUAAAAAGUCUAUUGUUAAAAAUUGAAGCUUAACUUCAAAGAUGCAAUGGAAACUUUUAAACUUGAGUAUGGUAGGGGUAGAGGGAAUUUCCAGUGGAGCGGUGAAAUGCGUAGAUAUUGGAAAGACCACCAAUGGCGAAGGCACUCUACUGGGCCAUUACUGACACUGAGAGACGAAAGCUAGGGGAGCGAAUGGG
rnacentral:rRNA from 1 species